UUUCUUUAUUCUUUUCCUCUCUUUUCUUAUCCUCUGUUCAGUGCUCUUUUUUUUUUUUCCUUCUCUCUUCUCACCUGUUCUCUUUCCCUUUCCCCGGUGGAUCAUGGUGGUGGUGGAUCAUAGAUCACGGCUGAGAUUUGGUCCGGUUUUGGUUGAUUUGGUGGGUUCUGGGUUUUGAUUUCGGUUGAGGUUGUGGGUUGCAGCCGGAUCAUGGAUCGCGUCUGAGAUUGGGUUUUGAUUUGGAUUGAGGUUCUGGGUUGAGCUUCGAUGGCUUGAUUUCGGUGAGAGGGGGAUGAUAUGCAUAGGACAACAGCAUUUUCGCAAAGCCCUAGAGCUCCUACACAAUGUUUGCUUCUUCUUUUUUCCCUUUUACUGAUGGGGUUGAAGAGAAGGCUAUUAAAGAAAUAGAGGCAAAUAAUUUUCAGCUGGGGUACAAUUUUUGGGCAACUAAUUCCUGUCACUCUUUGAGACUAAUCAAAUUACUUCUUCUAUUUUUGGUGGCAGUUUUCUUCUAGUCUUCCUAAGUGCACUUCUUCAGCUGCUUGGAGAAAUCUAAAGAGCUUCUAUCAGGUUUUUUUUUCAAAUUAAUUUAGGCAGUUCUCUUAAUUCUGGGAGUCCUCAUGUUGAUAUUGUGUUUAGAUCUAUGUUAUUUGUUGGACUAAUGAUUUAUAAGCAUGCUACUAAGUUUUAAGUCAUGGUUAGUGAGCUGAGUCACUGUAUAAAUGUUAUGGAAAGACAAAUUUCUUAUACGCGUUGUUGCAUGCCCAAUGUAACAGUGUUUGCUUGUUAACUACCACUUUGAUAAUUUGUCUCAGUGAGAGCUUAGGAUUGAUUAAUAAAUUGAUUUUUCUUUCAAAUCUUGGAUUCAUUUUGUACGUUACCUUAUAUGAUGGGUAUGCUACAGUAUUUGCUUCCCAAUGCAUUCCUCUUCUUACCAAGCAGAGAUCAUGUACUAAAAUCUUUUGAUAUUUUGGGCUAAAUAGUUAUCUUGUUUGAAUAGGUGGCCAGCAUUAUGGCUAGAAUAUAAUGAUUGACUAAAACUCCAUAGUCAUCAUACUAGAAGCUAGAUGGCAAUCAUCUGGCCGUAUGUAUAUAUGUGUAUAUAUAUAUAUAUAUAUAUAUGAAGAAUAAAUGUCUUCGGGUUUUUCAAAUUCAGAUUUUAAUGUGCCAACAAACAUGAAUUAAUAGCUAUUUGAGUGGACUGGGCUAUUUGCAGAAAAAUGCUACUAUUCAGUGUUCACACUUCACACUUACAAUAAUAUUUGUUUCUAUAUGUGAUGCUAUAUUUGGAGUUAGGUAGUUUUCUUUUAACUUGUCUUAUGCGCCCACCUUUGUGAUUCCUAUAUUACGUGAAUGCAACAUGAAUGUGACUCUUUUGUUACAUUUAUGGCCCUUGACAUAACAACAAUUCUGGCAUCUAAUGCCAGAUUACUACUUUUAUUUAUCUACUUUGCUAAAUCUAUAUUUUCUCGGCUAGGCAUACCAACACUUGUACACCUACUCUCAUUCUUGGCCUUUCAAAAAUUGGAGCUUUGAGAACAUUGUGCAAUAUGUUUAUUUGAACAUUAUCUUCUUUGAGUAGCCCUGCAUUGAAUUGGCGAAUAGUUAUAGCAUUGGGGAAAUUGCAGUAUUAGAGACGAACAUCCAGGCAAACAAGGAGAACUUUAAGAGUGAGCUUUCUACCAUACACAAUUCAUUAGGUACUUUGUUUUGGUUAGAACUUAAAAGCUUGAGAUCUUUACUUAAACCAUGUAGGAUGCCACAUUAUACUUUGGCUUUUUAUGCCAGGGUUGAUUUUUUUUGUUUCCAAAAUAUCUAGGGUUUAAAUACCCUUCCCCCCUCCACCCGGGGGCGGUUGUGAAAGCACUAGCAUUGGGGUGUGUAAACACCCUCUAAUUGCUAUUUUACAAUAUAAUUCCUUAAAAACAAGCUCCAUCCUAGUUGCUAAAUCCAAAUUUUUUUCCCACCCAACUACAGUGAGGUUGCAUAUAUGCAACCUUACUGUUCACAAGUUGUAUAAAAAAAUACUAUUAUUUUAUUAACUCCUUUUUCUCUCUCCUCUGACUCUCCGUCUUAGUUC